AGCAAGACAGGGACUGGGCAACACACCUGUGCCAAAGCCUACCAGAAGCCCAGCAUGUUCAAGGUGAUCCUGAGGGCUGUGGCAGACAAGAGGACCUGCAAGUAUGUGUCCCUGGCCACCCUGAAGAAGGCUGUUUCCACCACGGGCUACGACAUGGCCCAAAAUGCCUAUCAUUUCAAGCAUGUGCUCAAGGGGCUGGUGGACAAGGGCAUGCUCAGCAGGUGACCGGCAGGGUGGCCUCAGGCUCCUCCACCCUGGGCAAGAAGCAGGCCUCCAAGUCCAAGCUCAAGGUCAAGAGACAACGGCAGCAGAGGUGGCGCUCUGGGCAGCGCCCCUUUGGACAGCACAGGUCACUACUGGGCUCCAAACAGGGGCACAAGCGGCUUAUCAAGAGGGUUCGAAGGGUGGCCAAGUGCCACUGCAAUUA
rnacentral:sRNA from 1 species